rnacentral:rRNA from 1 species
AGCGAACGCUGGCGGCAUGCCUAACACAUGCAAGUCGAACGAACCUUUCGGGGUUAGUUGCGGACGGGGGAGUAACACGUGGGAACGUACCCUUAGGUUCGGAAUAACUCACUGAAACUUGUCCUAAUACCGAAGGUGCUCUUCGGGGGAAAGAUUUAUCGCCUUUGGAUGGGCCCGCGUCUGAUUAGCUAGUUGGUUGAGGUAAUGGCACACCAAGGCGACGAUCAGUAGCUGUGUCGAGAGGAUGAUAAGCCACAUUGGGACUGAGACACGGCCCAAACUGCUACGGGAGGGAGCAGUGGGGAAUACUGCGCGAUGGGCGAAAGUGUGACGCAGCCAUGCCGGGUAAAUGAUGAAGGUCGUAGGAUUGUAAAAUUCUUUCAGCGGGGACGAUAAUGACGGUACCGGGAGAAGAAGCCCCGGCUAACUUCGUG